rnacentral:ncRNA from 13 species
UCUGUGGUGGAAUGGUAGACACGCUUGGCUUAGAACCAAGUGCUUACGCGUGGGAGUUCGACUCUCCCCGG